rnacentral:other from 1 species
AGUCUUCUGGAGCGUUCGCUUGUGGCCCAAUCCCUUGAGCCUUAAUGCACCUCCUUGGGGAUGGCACCCGAGAGCCGUGUGCAUGUCCGCCCCGUGCGGAAAGCCUGACGCCCUCACCGCCCUCCCCGACUUGAACCGCUCGGUUCAAGGUACGUGGCCAACAGCGGCGCCCUGGAAGACCC